AAAAUUUGUUAUUAAUUUGAUUUAUAUGUAAAUUUUUGUGUGAAAAUUAAUUUAUUUUAAAAAUUAGUUAUUUUAUUUUAUUCGCAGUAAUUAAUAUUAUUAAUUAAAGAAAUUUAGAAAUAGCAAUAUUAAAGAGUAUUGGUAAAAUUGGUGCCAGCAACUGCGGUUAUACCAAUAAUACAAAUAAAUUUUUUUAGAUAAAGUUAAAUUGUUUUUAUUUAAAUAAAAUUAAGUUUAUUAAGUGAAAUUUUAAAUUUAAAAAUUUUUAUAAUAAUAAAUAUUGAAACUAAAAAAUUUUUUGUAA
rnacentral:rRNA from 1 species